rnacentral:lncRNA from 1 species
UUGGGUACAAAGGAAGCCUAAGGCCUGGGAAGGGGAGGGGAGGGGCUAAGCUAGCCUGAGGUUUUGAAUAAAUGUUCUAAAUGGGGUGCUUUAGUCCCAAAGUGAGUCGGCAAUUUCCAGGACACUAGGAUCAGUAAUAAAGCAGUGAGAUAGCAAUAAUGUUCUUUUUAGGACACCAUGACAUUAUGAUCUAACAGUCUUUACUUGUAUGUACUUUUCAGCAAUCAAAUGAAGCACUAUGUCAUGCUAAAUAAAGUUUAGGGUGAACCAUUGAUUUAAUCAUAUGGUAUAUCACUCCCAGAGGUAACUAAAACGUAAGGAAUAAUUGAGCUUAUUUCUUACAUCUUAAACAUUGCUUGCAGUACCAUGGAGGAGAACUAAUUUCGGAAGAACUGCUGGAGUCCCUUUUUAACAGAGGCGGCCCUGGACAUAGGCUCAAUAGGCCCCAGGCCUAGGCCCCCCACCCCCCCCCCCCCCCCCCCCCCAAAAAAAAGAUAACCCCUUAUAUAUAUGUUAUAAAAAAGAUUCUGGACAUUUUGUUUUGAAAAAAAAAAAAAAAAUUGGUUGUUCCUGACUUUUGUUCUUCUGCCGACUGCUACUCUGAGUGCUCUCCCAAAUCUCUCUCCUCACUUUUCAGACGAAAGUCACGAAAUUCUUCCAGAAAUUUGUCCAGGUUAUGAUGGCUCCGAUUAGGAAGUAUCCUUCUGCGGUUAAAAAAAGAAAAGAGAAGCAAAAGAGAGAGGCAUUGGUUAAGCUUCAAGCCGGAUCCCUUCGUGUUGACGGAUGUACUUGAACUUUUGCUUUUUGUGGUUAGAGGACCUAUUUUGUACCAGAUUGCUACAGCUAUAUCUGCCACUGCAACCUGGGAAUUUACACAUAUCAAGUAUCGGUUGGGGCUUGAAGGGUGUGGUUUGGUUGUUUAACAUUGCUACUUAUAUGCUGCCCAUUAUGCACUGAGUAGACAUGCUUCAGCAACUGAACAGAAAAGGGAGGUUAUCUCCCUCGGAACAUAUAUUCCCUCAAUUCUAAAUAUGGAUCUGAGCACCAAUUAAAAGUUAUGCAGCUAAAUAUGUGAAAGAGUAUAUUGAAGGAGCAAAACCAAUUUUUUCUGUUGGGGAGUAUUGGGAUUCUUGCAACUACAAUGGUCAUGGUUUGGACUACAACCAAGAUAGCCACAGACAACAAAUAAUAAGUUGGAUUGAUGGCACGGGACAGCUGUCAACUGCAUUUGACUUCACAACCAAGGGAGUUCUUCAGCUGUCAAGGGACAAUUAUGGAGAUUACGUGAUCCCCAAGGGAAGCCAUCAGGUGUAAUACAGUAGUACAGCUAGCUAGUUCCUAUAUUUAACUUGUGUCUAGUAGAAAUUCUUUCUUCAUUAGCAUUUGGACUUGUCUGCAGAUUUAGAUUAGUAGAUAUGGGCCAUUUUGAAUUGAUGCUCAUGAUUAGGUUUGUGUACAUGAGACAAUGGUGGAUUAGUGGAAAUUGCAAUGAGUGAUUUUGGAUGUGGAUUUUGUGGUUUCAUGAAUAUGCAAUUUUAAUUUCCAGAU